AUGGGUCUGUCGAGCGCUGUGGAUUGGUGGGAGGAGUGGCAGCUGCGCAUCCUCGUCCUCGGCAGCCUCUUUGUCCAAUACCUCCUGCUCUGCUCUGCCCCCUUCCGUAAGUUUGCUAUUCCUUCCUGGUACAGAUCCAUCAUAUGGCUCGCAUACCUAGGCAGUGAUUCUGUAGCCAUAUACGCCCUGGCUACCCUCUUUAACCGCCAGAGGAGACAGGAUUAUGGUUCUGCAAACAGCAAUAGCAUCCUGGAGGUGGUGUGGGCGCCAGUUCUCCUGAUGCACCUCGGCGGACAGGACGUAAUAAGUGCCUACAAUAUCGAAGACAACGAGCUGUGGACACGGCAUGUCCUCACUGCAGUGUCUCAAGUCACAGUAGCUAUCUACGUGUUCUGCAAAUCAUGGCCAGGCACAGGCGGAGACACAAGGUUGUUGCUGGCAUCAAUCUGCUUCUUUGUCUCAGGGAUUGUCAAAUGCAUAGAGAAACCUUGGGCUCUCAAGAGAGCUAGCAUCAAUAGCCUAGUCAGCUCUUCUGAUACUGCCGCGAGGAUGGGAAGCAUGUUUGGCAAGACCAUUUCGCUUGAAGAGUACGUGCAAGAAGCAAGGAAUUUUGUCCAGUCCCAAGUAGAAGGGCAUGCAGUUGACCUUGAGCACAACCAUGUUCCUCAAGCCCAAGCAGAAACUGAUGCAGUGGAAUCCAACCAUCAUCGUCAAGCACAUGGAAAAGGUAAUGCUGCUGACCUUGAUCCCAACCAUAUUCUUCGAGCCCAAGGAGAGGCCAAUGGAAAAAGGCGCCUAAUCCAAAAAAGGGAAAAUAAUAGAAAAUAUGAUGUUCAGAUCCGUAAGAUAUUUGUGGACCUUGCAUCAUCGUAUACUGAUCGACUGGAUAUCCUAAAAUCCUUUUGGGUGCUUGAUGAGAAAAGAGCAUGCGCUUUUUUGCGAAAAGGGCUAUUAAACACAUUUGAUCUUCUCUACACCAAACAAAAGGUGAAUACAUCCAUGGAAAUUAUCAGAAAAAUUCAAGAAGCUAGAAAAGCAGAUAUUACAUUUCAGAACUUUUUUACUUGGUGCUUUUUGGCACUAGCUCUGUACCUGCCAUUUGCUGCCAUCGGCCUCUUCCACAAGAGUCACAGAGGCACUUAUAAUGUUAAUGAUGUCAAGGUUACAUAUGCCUUGUUCUGUUGUACUGCUGCGAUGCAGUUUUUUGCCAUGUACUUUCACAUGCUUGCAGCAGCUCUGAGCGGUUUACUGAUAUCAUCUGGCAUGGUUGCUCAGUAUAGCCUACUAAAUUUCUUUAUUCGCAACGAAAGGCACAGCAAGAAGAUGUGCGUUCUUAGUUCCUUCAACUGCAAGGACUUCCUUGACCAGCGUUGGUGCAUGAAGUCAUGCUCCUCAUCUUUCGGAAUUACAGAAUUGGUUCUUGGAUAUGUGAAAUGUUGCUGGGAGAAAGACAUAGUAGAUGCUGCCAGUUAUAGGAAAUUCAGUGAUCAGAGGGGCCAGUGGACUAUUCAGCGUAGUGGGUGCGACAAAGACCAGGAAUGGGGGCUAAACAGGUCGUUCGACGAGAGUGUCCUUCUCUGGCACAUCGCAACGGACUUGUGCUUCUACCAAAAGGGAGACACAUCAGCUAGUCGUGGAGAUGCCACAAAAUGCAGAGAAAUUUCCAACUACAUGGUAUACCUACUGUUUGUCCAUCCUGAGAUGCUAUUGCCCGGCACAAGACGAAAUCUGUUCAAGGCUGCUAACGCUGAACUGGAGGAGAUUUUCAAGGACGACAAGCCAUUACUCAAGGCCAUCCUCAAGGGUGGCAAGCCAUCGCUAAUGGAGAUUCCCAAGCGAAAGGGGCCAUUGCCUGAGCAGAUUGAAAGAAGACUUGUGGACAGUAUAAUCGCCAAGGUGCAACCAACAAAAUACAGCAAACAAGUUGAACACACAUACUUGGCACCAGCUGCACAGGAAGGUUUUAUCCAUGAGGCCCGGAAGAUUUCUGAACUAUUGUUGUCUUUGGGCGAUGAGAAGAUGUGGAAGGUGAUCAAAGGUGUGUGGGUGGAGAUGCUCUGCUUCUCAGCCAGUAGGUGCCGAGGAUUCCUACAUGCCAAGAGUUUGGGCACCGGCGGGGAGCUGCUCACAUAUGUAUGGCUCCUGCUGUCGCACAUGGGGAUGGAGACCUUGCCGGAGAGGGCACAGAGGAGGGAGCUUUCAAGUGAAGGAGGAAACAUGGGUGCUGCUCCGUUCACUUCGCGGGUCAGCAUCCCCACUGGGGAGGACAUGGUUUGA
rnacentral:rRNA from 1 species